GACGAACGCUGGCGGCGUGCCUAAUACAUGCAAGUCGAGCGAGCGGAACUAACAGAUUUACUUCGGUAAUGACGUUAGGAAAGCGAGCGGCGGAUGGGUGGGUAACACGUGGGGAACCUGCCCCAUAGUCUGGGAUACCACUUGGAAACAGGUGCUAAUACCGGAUAAGAAAGCAGAUCGCAUGAUCAGCUUUUAAAAGGCGGCGUAAGCUGUCGCUAUGGGAUGGCCCCGCGGUGCAUUAGCUAGUUGGUAAGGUAAAGGCUUACCAAGGCGAUGAUGCAUAGCCGAGUUGAGAGACUGAUCGGCCACAUUGGGACUGAGACACGGCCCAAACUCCUACGGGAGGCAGCAGUAGGGAAUCUUCCACAAUGGACGCAAGUCUGAUGGAGCAACGCCGCGUGAGUGAAGAAGGUUUUCGGAUCGUAAAGCUCUGUUGUUGGUGAAGAAGGAUAGAGGUAGUAACUGGCCUUUAUUUGACGGUAAUCAACCAGAAAGUCACGGCUAACUACGUGCCAGCAGCCGCGGUAAUACGUAGGUGGCAAGCGUUGUCCGGAUUUAUUGGGCGUAAAGCGAGCGCAGGCGGAAGAAUAAGUCUGAUGUGAAAGCCCUCGGCUUAACCGAGGAACUGCAUCGGAAACUGUUUUUCUUGAGUGCAGAAGAGGAGAGUGGAACUCCAUGUGUAGCGGUGGAAUGCGUAGAUAUAUGGAAGAACACCAGUGGCGAAGGCGGCUCUCUGGUCUGCAACUGACGCUGAGGCUCGAAAGCAUGGGUAGCGAACAGG
rnacentral:rRNA from 1 species